rnacentral:rRNA from 1 species
UGGGGAAUUUUGGACAAUGGGGGCAACCCUGAUCCAGCAACGCCGCGUGAAUGAAGAAGGCCUUAGGGGUGUAAAGUUCUUUUAUUUGGGAGCAAAGCUUAUGUGUUAAUAGCAUAUGGGGAUGAGAGUACCAAAAGAAUAAGCACCGGCUAACUACGUGCCAGCAGCCGCGGUAAUACGUAGGGUGCGAGCGUUAAUCGGAAUUAUUGGGCGUAAAGGGUGCGUAGGCGGAUAUUUAAGUUAGAUGGG